GACUUAAGAGCCACGUACGUUUCCAGCUGCUUCCUUUCCCCCUUGAAGCUCGAGGUUGGACCCCAGCAGAGGCGGCUUGACGGUGCAUCAGAGGUGAACAAGGGACUUGACGGCGAGGCCCGGAGACUCGUGCUUUAUCCCGGAGUCUCCUCUGAUGCCCCGGCUGGAGCAUGUGAAGAUUGUGAGUUCAGAUUUGUAGUGGUGAAUUUAUGUGUUUUGAGGGGAAUUACGGCUUAGUGGGUCACUUUGUGCAAUGCAAAGGUAGGUACCAGGAUUCUUCUGUAUAUGAAAAAGUUCAGUCGUGUCUUUCUGCCGAAAUGUGCUUUAUUUUGGUGACUGUUCUGGGUGAGUUGAGUAUGGUCUGCUCUUACUGGUUGGGAUAUUCAAUAAAUGCCAGUUAGAGCAGGUUGGUUGGUAGUUUGGGGCAGGUCCAGUAUAACCUUUCUGAUCUUCUGUCUUGCUGGUCUCUCCGUUACUGAAUGAGGGGUGUUGGAGUCUACAGCUAUAGUAGUGGGUCUGUUUCUCCAUGGGAUUUGAUCAGUUUUUGCCUCAAAUAUUUUGCUGCUCUGCUGUUAUGUGCAUUCAUUUUAAGGAUUGUUAUGUCUUCUUGGAAACUACCUCUUUUAUCAUGAUUUAAUAUCCUUAUUUAUCCUCAGCAAUUUUUCUUGUGAAGUUUUUGUCUUCUAAAUUUGUAGCUAAUCCAGCUUUCUUUUGGUUAGUGGUGCUGUGAGCAUGUCUUUCUCUAGCCCUUGACUUUUAAUCCGUGAACGUUUAUCUUUUAAAGUAGAUUUCUCGUAGAUAGCAUAUAGUUGAGACUAAUUUUAUUAUCCACUCUUAAAGUCUCUAUAUUUUAAUUGGUAUAUUUAGGCCAUUCACAACUAAAGAAAUAAAUGAUAUAGUUGGAUUAACAUCUGCUGUGUUUGCAACUAUUUUCUAUUCAUUGUGCUUGUAUUUUGUUUCUCUUUUUCUCUUCUACCUUAUCUGCCUUCUGUGGCUUUAAUUGAGCACUUUAUGGGUUUGUUUUCUCUCCUCUCUUAGAACAUUCUUUAUGUUUUCUUAAUAAACAUUUUAGGUGUUGUUUAGAAUUUGCAGUGUGAAUUCUCAGUGACCCCAAGUCCAUCCUCAAAUACCCCUUUCCUACUUCACAAACAGUCUCUGAAUCUCAGAGCAAAUGACGCUCAGUAUCUGCCUCCUGUCAUUAAUUUUCUUUAUCCACACACACUGAUUCCCAAUACGAUGUUACUGCUAUUGCUUUAAACAAACUGCUGUCUUUUCGACCAGGUAACAUGAAAGAUAAAGAAUUUCAUUCUCCCUUAAUUUCGUCGUCUUCCAGUGUGCUUCCAUUUUCAGACAGAUGCAGGUUUCUGGCCUGUUUCAAUUCCCUUCUCGCUGAAAGAAUGUAUGUAAGUUAUACUUCAACAUAUUUUUUUUAAAAAAUCAAGUCCACUUCCAUGUUGGGGUGACGUCGAGGGGAGAUGAGUCAAACAGCCACCAUGGAGGGGGUACGGGGAGUCGGAAGGGGGGUUGGGUGCAUUGAGUCCCCGCUGUUUUUUCAGCUAAAGAAUGGUUCACGUGGUGGCGUGUUUCUGGGUGGCUCUGAAAUAUGUCUGAGUUAAACACAAGUUCAUAAGAUGUUUGAAACUGUGGAACUCUUCUCUUUCUGUUUUCCUGUAAGGAAACUCCACCUUAGAAAUGGUGUUGGCUCGAGUGCAGAAACUACUUAAACUCUGAGAAAUCCAUGGGAGCAAAUAUUACACUUUGUUCUGAGAUUCUGAUUCAGUCCACCUAAUUCUAAUUAUCCUGCGAUGAAUGAAUUAAAACCAUCUGAUUGAGUCAUGUUUGUAAAAUGCUCUCAUUAGUAACUCCUCUGAAUGUUUUGAUUGUUUCUUUUUAUAAUCAUCUGGUCAUGUGGCCCCUUUUAAAGCUUAAAUGUCAAACAUAGACGUCAGUGGAGUCACGUGAAAGAUUCGACAUGUGCCAUCGUCAUGCGUCCCGUUCGGAAACGUCUCAUUAGACUGUCCUCGGUGGGCUCCUGCUCGAGAGGCUGCGCGUGGUUUCAGUUAUUUGCUGCAGAACGCAAGCCUAUAAAAUAUAAAACUAUGAUGAAAUGGAAAGAAUGUUUUGAGGCAGCUACAGACAAAACCCUGCCGUCGGGAUGAAAGGCUGGAUGAGUCACGUAGCCGGGGAGAUGUGAUCACCCCGGCCAAGCCAGGCGACCGCGUCUGCGAGGCCGAUUGCUCAACCGGGACGCCUCCCCACUGGCCCAGAGGCCCCGGGUCACAUGGCGGGGCAGGACCCUGGGCAGGCAGGCGCCGCACGUGUCCUAACGGGAUGGGCCGAGCUCCCCAGCGGCAGAGAGCCAGCGCCCCCAGGGAUGCUCGGCCUGGCCGACUUUGCUCCCGAGGAGCUGUCCCCAGAGGAGGUGUGGCGUGUGCGCCUGGGCCGCGAGGGGCAGGCCGGAGCCAGACACACGGUGGUCUCUGGGGCGGGGGUCAGUGCCGCUUUCAUUCAGGCCUCUGGGGUCCAUGGCCUCCAGGAGGAAGUAGAAGGUCAUGGGGGGUCGAGGAGGCGUGUUCGGGAUGACGCCAGGCAUUCAUGCCUUCAGCGCUCACCCCCUGCUGCAAACAGCAAGGGUUUAGAAACAGUGAAAACCAAGGGAGACAAAGGAAGCAGCAGAGCCCAGAGCUUCCCAGUGAGACGGUCACAGCAGGGCCCCCUGCUGGCCGGGGCGGGGGGGGGGGGGGGGGGGGCGGGGGUGCCUGGGGCAGGACCGGUGUGGACAUGGGGGGAGGGAAGGCCCAGGUCACGGUUCCUACUGAUGGGACGUGGGCCUGUCCUGUUCUCCCGCCACCUCGGCUGAACACUUGCCCUGGAGUCUGGCCCUCUGCCCAUUCUUGCUGCACUUGGUCUGCACGGGGCCCAGCACCCGGCAGGGUCAGCUUUCUCGGGACAAAAGCCACCAGCCCCCGCUGUGUUAAGUUCAUGGUCACGGGGGUAGAAGGGGCAGCCACGGGACUGCAGCAUGGCGUCCCAUGGCCGGUACCGGGGCAGGUGACCCCUGGAACCGGUGAGUCAUUCUCGAAGUGGCCCCAGGGCGUGUGGGCCCCGGGCAGGAGCAGACGCUGUGGGAUAAACCAAGUGGUGGCUUGGAACCUUCGACGCGCACGCUGAGCAGCAUGAAAGGUCCACGAGAUCCAGGACCUGGCCGACGGGAGGCUGCCCUCAGCCCCUGAGCCCCGAGCAGCUUAGGGGCCGUGGUGUCAGGUGAGCCCAGUCAUUGCGGCCGGAGUCCCAGAGCAGUGAGCUGGGAGCUGAGUUUCCAAGGACGAGUGUGUGGGGACAGGCCAGCAACUCUGGAGAGAAGAGCACAUGUAGGACACGGACAUGGGCCCAGGGCCGGUGCCCUUGACCCCACCCCACGUGCUGAACAGAGGCGGCCGUGCUGGGCAGGGGCCCGGGUCCCCGAGUGCUCAGCAGUGGGGGGACUCCUCCGUGGGCCAGCAGACAGCCCUUUUGGUGGGAGGGUCGGAGGAGACGGAGGCCCUAUGAAGGCGGCCUGUUUUCAGGGCCAGGGAACUUCCCUGUGGGCGCCAGACAAAGGCAGCCUGGGCCCUCCCGACGCCAUCUCUGCUCGGCCCCCGUGGGCGCCCCCGGCCACCCACCGUCACUGGUCACACACACAGGUGUGGUUCGCUUGGUUCAAGAGUGUGUCUUUGUGGGGAAGAGACCUGCCCUUGACCGAGACGUGCCUUCUUCCUGGGCGUGGUCUCCGUCACGGGGUUCAUCUCAUGGGCUUCAGUUUUCUUACCUAGAAAGCGUGAAUCAUCACGCUCAGUCUUAGACUGCGGAGAGGCUCAGGUGUGCCCUGUGUGGCCCAUCAGCGGUGCUGAUUCCUCAGCCAGCGCCGUGGCCUGGGCCCCUUGGGGAAGGGUCUGCGUGUGGGGAAGGGUCCUGCGGGGAAGGCUCUCUCGGGACUCAGGACCCCGUGGAGUCAGACCAGUGGAGGAGGCCGAGCAGUCCUGCUGCCCGAGGUCCCCUCGAGUCCAGGGCGUUUGGGGGGGAGGAUGGCGGCGUCUUUUCCCCGAGCUGAGUCCCAGGCCAGCAGCGUCGGGUCGGGAACGUCCAGUUGGGAGGAUCGGGUCUGGACACGUGCAUCUGGAGGAGCACAGGUGAGAGGGGAGCUGGUGGGAACAGGUGGUUGUGCAGGAGGGAGGGUCCUGGGUGAGGACGCGGCUGAGGACGGGCCCUGGGACCCACACAGUGACUGUGGUGGGGACAGCAUCUGCCACAGAGCGCUGGGGACAGGCCCUGCGAGAGGAGGAGCCCACCCCAGGGUCCCAUCCACGCGGCCCCCGCCGGAGCCCACCCGUCCUCCAGAUGGAAGGGGUGCGGCCGACUGGGGGGGAUGGACUUCUCCCGUGGGCCUUCCUUGGGGGCUCUGUUGGGCUCCCGCUAAAAACUCGUCCUCAUCUGGCCUGAAAAGGCCAAGCCCGUCCCACCACUGAGGGUUCGGCUCGUCCGUUUCCUGCUUUAGGGACGGAGGGAGGAGCUGUGAUGACGGGAGUGGAGCUCCGGCCCCAGCUUUUGAUUAAAACGUCAGCAUCGCCGGUCGCCGUGCUGUCAGCCAGUCAUGCGUUUCGGCUUCUUCCUCAACGUUCCUUUCACGUGGUCCCCACGGCAGGUUGACAGCCGCGAGCGGGGGAGCCUGUGCCCGAAUCCCAUGCACAGCACUGUCCCGGGAAAGUCGUCACCCGAGCAGCCGAAGACGGCAUCCCGCUUCUAGACCGAGCGCAGGGCGUUCCCAGCGUGUCUGGGGAAGGGCCGUGGGGACGCUGCUGGGAGGAAGCGGAAGCUCCUUACUGCGCCUUGUGAGGGUCCCUUUGCAGAAGUCCUGCCCGUGUCCCAGGAGGAGGUGGCUCCCUUCCAGCCCCAACGCUGGAGCCCAGGGCCAGCCCUGCACCUGUCCUUGGAGCCCUCGGGUGUCCCUCAGCCACCAAAGCAGGAAUUGGCGUUUCUGUGCAGUCACAGUUCAUGCUCUGUGAGGUGCAGCGGACACGCAUGCACACGGAUGCGCAGCCCUGUGCACACACAGAGCACUCAGUGCACCUGCGCUCAGCAUCACGCAACCUGUGAUGGAAGCGGUUCCUUAGUGACAGGACCUCCGCUUAAGCUUCUGCAUCUUGUUCCCCUAAAUGUCACAAUAAUUUAAAAAUUGUCUCUAGAGCUCACCCUGGCCCUACCUGGAAGUGCCAUCAGCUGGCGUCUCCUGCUCUGCCUCCUGAGUAUGUCCCCUUUUGCUCCUGCAAAAUCCUUCCCCGAGAAUCAGGCCACCACACAGGUGCCGGGUGCUGCUGGACACGGGUUGUCCGAGGUGACUUGGGGCUGAGAUGCGCUGUUUCCUCCUCCUCCGGGGCAGAGCUGCAAGACUGGGAACCUGGGAUGCAGACAGGUGUGCUCGCUGGCUGGGAAGGUCAGAAAGGACAAGCUGCCGUGGGGACGUUUCCUUUCCCGUUUUGCCUGCGGAGCCCCUACUUGUAAUGCGCCACGGACCCGCUAUGGGGACGUUAAGUGUGGCUUAUUCUGAGCGGUUGAUGCCCAGACCCGGGGCACAAUUUCACACGUUCCUCAGGCUCCAGAGCGGGUGUCGGUCCUGCACCCGAGCCUCCCCGGCUCCCCGCCCAGUCCCUCUGGGAGGCAAAGCCAUGUCGUCUCUCUCCUGCACUGUCCUGGAAAUACGCGACCCCAGGUGGGUUUGCUUGUAAAGGCGGUGUGAGGACUGCCUGAAUUCUGGCAGCUGUUUCUGUGUUUUGGACUAAACAGCCCAGGAAGCAAUCAAAUAUCAGGAAAAGGUUUAUCUGACUUGGAAAGGGGAUCCCAGGUCCCCCUCAGGGCCUGGGAGGGAGGAAUGGACCAGCACCCGGAGUUCCCGUCGCGGCUCAGGGUAACGAACCCUACCAGGAUCCAUGAGGAUACGGACUUGAUCCCUGGCCUUGCUCUGUGGGUUACGGAUCUGGCGUUGCCGUGAGCUAUGGUGUAGGUCACAGAUGCGGCUUGGAUUCUGCAGGGCUGUGGCUGUGGUGUAGGCCGCAGUUGCAGCUCUGAUUUGACCCCUAGUCUGAGAUCUUCCAUAUGCCGUGGGUGCAGCCCUAAAAAGACCAAAAAAAAAAGAGAGAGAGAGAGAGAGAGAGAGAAAGGGCUAGUGCUGAGUGGCUGGCAGCACUGACCUUGGGCCCAUCUUCCUGGAGUGAGACUCGGCCACACUCCCUCCAGCAGCUGCUCUGGGUGCGGCCAGAUACCGGCAUCAGCCUUCCGUCAUUCAUGUGUCUAUGGUUUGUGGACCAGAAAAACAAACAAAUAUUUCUUUUUAAUAAAACUCACCCUGCAU
rnacentral:lncRNA from 1 species